rnacentral:tRNA from 1 species
GUCUCUAUAGCUUAGUGGUAGAGCGUUCCCUUCGUAUCAGAGGAUCAGGGAAAGGUCCUGAGUUCAAUCCUCAGUGGGGGCA